UUAGGCCAUUACCUACAGCUGAUGAGCUACAAGAGUGAAACCAGCUAGGUCCUGUAGUACUUGCCUAAUAAAUA
rnacentral:hammerhead_ribozyme from 2 species